rnacentral:misc_RNA from 1 species
GAUGAAGAACGUAGCGAAAUGCGAUAAGUAAUGUGAAUUGCAAAAUUCAGUGAAUCAUCGAAUCUUUGAACGCACCUUGCGCCCUUUGGACAUUCCGAAGGGCAUGCCUGUUUGAGUAUCAUGAACACCUCAACUCUCACGGCUUGUCCGUGAUGAGCUUGGACUUUGGGGGUCUUGCCGGCCUGUGGUCGGCUCCUCUCAAAUGGAUCAGCUUGCCAGUGUUUGGUGGCAUCACAGGUGUGAUAACUAUCUGCGCUUGUGGUUUUCCAUCAGAUAACCUUCAGUGAUAUGGAGGUUCGCUGGAGCUCACAAAUGUCUCUCCUUAGUGAGGACAGCUCUUUGAACGUUUGAUCUCAAAUCAGGUAGGACUACCCGCUGAACUUAAGCAUAUCAAUAAGCGGAGGA